UGGAAAGCGAGCGCAGGUCGGUCUGCAUGUUCUCCAGCAGUUUCUUCACCGCCUCGGGACUGCUGGUCGACAUCUUUGAGCCCAAGGAGUGUUCGACGGACGCAAGAGGGGAGCACGGAAACGCCGCGGUGGAUCCGUACGGGAGCCCCCGUCUGGUUUGCUUGCAGCGCCGGUGCGCAGGAGAGCGGCGACGACGCCGACAUAAGUCCACUUUCGCAAAGCAGGGCGGGCGUUAAACUAAGAUGACAUGUCGCCCUUUUAAAUGUAUCUUCAUUCAUCGACUGUACUUGUCAAAUUGCGUUCGGGGGCGACGUAAGUGGCAUCGGCCGCCGUUAGCUUGGCUUCUUCUUUACCCACAAUGCCUCAGUGCUCUGUGGGUGACACGUCACUCAUACUUCCGUAAACACUGAGCCAUUCCUCAAAAUGGCCACAGCGACCCCUGCUGAAUAAACCGUAUAUAGACCCUUCAGCAACACAUUAAAAAAAUAUGCAUUUUAAUGAAAACAAAAAAAAGCAUUCUACGGGGACGUAGCGUGUCUUGAAAACAUAUAGUAAUGCAUAAAUGCAUGAAUGAAUAAAAUAUGACGAAUGAAA